rnacentral:rRNA from 1 species
AUUGAACGCUGGCGGCAGGCCUAACACAUGCAAGUCGAGCGGGGUUUUCGGACCUAGCGGCGGACGGGUGAGUAAUGCGUAGGAAGCUACCCGAUAGAGGGGGAUACCAGUUGGAAACGACUGUUAAUACCGCAUAAUGUCUACGGAACAAAGUGUGGGACCUUCGGGCCACAUGCUAUCGGAUGCGCCUACGUGGGAUUAGCUAGUUGGUGGGGUAAUGGCUCACCAAGGCGACGAUCCCUAGCUGGUUUGAGAGGAUGAUCAGCCACACUGGAACUGAGACACGGUCCAGACUCCUACGGGAGGCGGCAGUGGGGAAUAUUGGACAAUGGGCGCAAGCCUGAUCCAGCCAUGCCGCGUGUGUGAAGAAGGCCUUCGGGUUGUAAAGCUCUUUCGGCAGGAACGAAACGGCGAGCUCUAACAUAGCUUGCUAAUGACGGUGCCUGAAGAAGAAGCACCGGCUAACUACGUGCCAGCAGCCGCCGUAAAAC